rnacentral:rRNA from 1 species
AGAGUUUGAUCAUGGCUCAGGAUGAACGCUAGCUACAGGCUUAACACAUGCAAGUCGAGGGGCAUCAGUUUGGCUUGCUUGCAAACCAAAGCUGGCGACCGGCGCACGGGUGAGUAACACGUAUCCAACCUGCCUCAUACUCGGGGAUAGCCUUUCGAAAGAAAGAUUAAUAUCCGAUAGCAUAUAUUUCCCGCAUGGGUUUUAUAUUAAAGAAAUUCGGUAUGAGAUGGGGAUGCGUUCCAUUUAG